CGAAAACACCGGCUCUUCCUUGGUCUUGAGCCUGCCGGGCUUCAAACUGGAAGCUACACCAGCAGCUCUCCCGGGUCUCCAGCCUGCCGACUCACCUUGGAUAUUGUGGGACUUGUCAGUGUCCAUCCCCUUUGGUUUCUGAUGAGAGGGCGGUGAAUUCAUGGAUGCAGAACCCAUGGAUAUGGAGGGCCAGCUGCAUAUCCACGCAUGAACCCCAGCGGCUGCGUAACCACCUCAGAGGGCAUUUUCAUUCAGGUUCUUCAUGAACAACAUAUGCAUGCGGUCCUGACUUGAAAGAGGGCCCAGUGAUGGUUUAAAUGCUUUACCUGUAUGCUUAGGAACCAAUCAUAAAUGUUAUAUCUUAUCUGAAAAUAGAACCUAGAAAACUAAAGAAGCGAUCUUCUCACUGCAGAACUCACGUCCAGAUGUCAGAUAAGUCUGGGAAUGGGACAGAUAGGGAAGUGCACCAGGAGCCUGCAGGCCCUUGGAAAGGACCAGGGAUUGUGGGGGCCAUGGAGGGUGGUGCAGGGGUCAUGAUUCUGCAGAAAGGGUGGCACAUGGAAGCCAGCGAGCUGUGACCUCAGUGUGAUGGGGAUUCACGCCCCAGCAGGUUCCUUGUGGAUCUCUUGCACCGAGCCACGUCCUGUGAGAUCAUUUCCUGUCAUAUCCUAUCCAUGCGUCCACUCAUUCACGCACCCUGUGGAGUAAUGUGGAUUCAAACCCUUUCCUGAUUGGUUUCUUUGGCACUCUCCCACCUCUCUGUGAAAAUUCCUCAAAGCUCCCAGGCCAUGUGUAGUGUUUGCGAUCGCUUAGAAAUCUGGAGACAGACAGUUCAGCCACAGGUAAUUCCUGUAUAUCGAGUCACUCUUAAUAUUGAUGCCAGCCUGUUAAUGAUUCUCUAAAUCCAUAUUCAACUCUUCAGCCGAAAAGCGGGCAGAGGUGUGAAAUGAGGGGCUCCCUCCUAGCUCUAAAUGUCGCUCACAGGGCGGGGUGGCCGUUGUUACUCUAGUUAACACGGGGCAGGUGUGAGGAG
rnacentral:lncRNA from 10 species